GGCGGCGUGCCUAACACAUGCAAGUCGAACGCGAAAGUGGAGCAAUCCAUGAGUAGAGUGGCAAACGGGUGAGUAACACGUGGGUGACCUGCCUUCGAGCGGGGGAUAACGUCCCGAAAGGGACGCUAAUACCGCAUAACAUCCUGCCUUUUAAGAGGUGGAGAUCAAAGCCGGGGAUCGCAAGACCUGGCACUUGAAGAGGGGCCCGCGCCUGAUUAGCUAGUUGGUGGGGUAAUGGCCUACCAAGGCAACGAUCAGUAUCCGGCCUGAGAGGGCGGACGGACACACUGGGACUGAGACACGGCCCAGACUCCUACGGGAGGCAGCAGUGGGGAAUUGUUCGCAAUGGGCGCAAGCCUGACGACGCAACGCCGCGUGGAGGAUGAAGACCUUCGGGUCGUAAACUCCUUUCGAUCGAGACGAAUGUUUUUCGGGUGAACAAUCCGGAAAAGUGACGGUACCGAGAGAAGAANCCCCGGCUAACUCUGUGCC
rnacentral:rRNA from 1 species